GUUGUUUUGGCAGAAUAGUGCGGUGGAUUUAGAAUCUUUGUAUGUAAGAAAGAUUUUUUACAAAUAACA
rnacentral:tRNA from 1 species